GCGGGAAUAGCUCAGUUGGUAGAGCACGACCUUGCCAAGGUCGGGUCGAGUCUCGUUUCCCGCUCCA
rnacentral:tRNA from 1 species